rnacentral:rRNA from 1 species
UCCUACGGGGCGCAGCAGUAGGGAAUCUUCCACAAUGGGCGAAAGCCUGAUGGAGCAACGCCGCGUGGGUGAAGAAGGUCUUCGGAUCGUAAAACCCUGUUGUUAGAGAAGAAAGUGCGUGAGAGUAACUGUUCACGUUUCGACGGUAUCUAACCAGAAAGCCACGGCUAACUACGUGCCAGCAGCCGCGGUAAUACGUAGGAGGCAAGCGUUAUCCGGAUUGAUUGGGCGUAAAGGGAACGCAGGCGGUCGUUUAAGUCUGAUGUGAAAGCCUUUGGCUUAACCGGAGCAGGGGAAUGGA